CGCGAAGACUUUACAAUGCUGGCAACAGCGAUAAGGGAACCUCGAGUGCCAGGUUACAAAUCUGACUGUCGAGAUGCCUAAAAAGCAUUUCAUAGCAAGGGCCGGGCAAGACCGGUGCCAGCCGCCGCGGUAACACCGGCGGCUCGAGCGGUAACCGUUAUUAUUGGGUCUAAAGGGUCUGUAGCCGGCCGGAUAAGUCUCUUGGGAAAUCUGGCAGCUCAACUGUCAGGCUUUCAGGAGAUACUGUCUGGCUCGAGGCCGGGAGAGGUGAGAGGUACUUCAGGGGUAGGGGUGAAAUCUUGUAAUCCUUGAAGGACCACCAGUGGCGAAGGCGUCUCACCAAAACGGACCUGACGGCAAGGGACGAAAGCUAGGGGCACGAACCGGAUUAGAUACCCGGGUAGUCCUAGCCGUAAACGAUACUCGCUAGGUGUCGGCCACGGUGCGACCGUGGUCGGUGCCGUAGGGAAGCCGUGAAGCGAGCCACCUGGGAAGUACGGCCGCGAGGCUGAAACUUAAAGGAAUUGGCGGGGGAGCACCACAACGGGUGGAGCUUGCGGUUUAAUUGGAUUCAACGCCGG
rnacentral:rRNA from 1 species